AAGUCAGAUAAAUUGGGAGGCUGAGUCAAGCGCAGUUGACGUUCUGGAGCUACACUGUCCAAUAUGUGGCCACUAGCCACAUAUGGCCUUUGAGCACUUAAAUGUGGCCAGUCCCAACUGAGAUAUGCUCGCUGAUCUAGAGCAUUGGGGUCACACAGACCCUGGCUCUGCACUCCCGUGCCACAUCACUUUGGAAGAUGCCUUUGACUGAUCUGCCAUCCCAGCCAGAAGCAGGGAAACAAGCCAAUGAGAAACAAGUCCUGCUCAGGCAUUGACCAAUCAGAACUAGUGGCCUGGAAGCCUGGUCAGUGAGCUGGUACCCUCAGCUGGUGCCAAGCAAGAAGCUCGCUUUAAUGCGGCUCGUGGUCAACACGCAAGGAGUGACAGUUACUAUUACAAUGGGAGGACAACAUGAUGAAGGCGCCAGAGGUGAUGACCUCAGGGGCCUAGAAGUGGAAUGACGAACUGGGUUAAGAGAUGCUGGAAGGCCAUCAGGAGGCUGUAAUCCAGCACGUUGAGCUCCUGAAGGAAGGCAGUGUCCAGCUCCAUCUGCCGGAGGAACCAGCUCCGCUGGGGACCUGCUGGAGCAGCAG